rnacentral:rRNA from 1 species
GCAGGAGACUCCUACGGGAGGCAGCAGUGGGGAAUAUUGCACAAUGGGCGCAAGCCUGAUGCAGCCAUGCCGCGUGUAUGAAGAAGGCCUUCGGGUUGUAAAGUACUUUCAGCAGUGAGGAAGGUGGAUAUGUUAAUAGCAUAUUCAUUUGACGUUAGCUGCAGAAGAAGCACCGGCUAACUCCGUGCCAGCAGCCGCGGUAAUACGGAGGGUGCGAGCGUUAAUCGGAAUUACUGGGCGUAAAGCGCAUGCAGGUGGUUUGUUAAGUCAGAUGUGAAAGCCCGGGGCUCAACCUCGGAAUUGCAUUUGAAACUGGCAAACUAGAGUACUGUAGAGGGGGUAGAAUUUCAGGUGUAGCGGUGAAAUGCGUAGAGAUCUGAAGGAAUACCGGUGGCGAAGGCGGCCCCCUGGACAGAUACUGACACUCAGAUGCGAAAGCGUGGGGAGCAAACAGGAUUAGAUCCCCUGGUAG